GCUUUGGUGGUGUAAUGGCGUAGAGCAUUCCAGCCCGGUCAGCAGGAGGAGCGGGUUCGAGUCCCGCCUGGCGCU
rfam:Heligmosomoides polygyrus genome assembly, scaffold: HPBE_scaffold0003904